rnacentral:rRNA from 1 species
AUUGAACGCUGGCGGCAGGCCUAACACAUGCAAGUCGAACGGCAGCACAGUAGAGCUAGCUCUUUGGGUGGCGAGUGGCGGACGGGUGAGUAAUUUCUGGGAAACUGCCCGAUGGAGGGGGAUAACUAUUGGAAACGGUAGCUAAUACCGCAUAACGUCGCAAGACCAAAGUGGGGGACCUUCGGGCCUCACAGCAUCAGAUGCGCCCAGAUGGGAUUAGCGAGUAGGUGGGGUAAUGGCUCACCUAGGCAACGAUCCCUAGCUGGUCUGAGAGGAUGACCAGCCACACUGGAACUGAGGCACGGUCCAGACUCCUACGGGAGGCAGCAGUGGGGAAUAUUGCACAAUGGGCGCAAGCCUGAUGCAGCCAGGCCGCGUGUAUGAAGAAGGCCUUCGGGUUGUAAAGUACUUUCAGCGGGGAGGAAGGCGGUGAGGUUAAUAACCUCGCCGAUUGACGUUACCCGCAGAAGAAGCACCGGCUAACUCCGUGCCAGCAGCCGCAGUAA